ACCCGAAAUAUAAGCCUGUUCUACUCUAUGUAUCGUCGUGGCCAAAAGUUUUGAGAAUGACACAAAUAUUAAUUUCCACAAAGUUUGCUGCUUCAAUGUCUUUAGAUAUUUUUGUCAGAUGUUACUAUGGAAUACUGAAGUAUAAUUACAAGCAUUUCAUAAGUGUCAAAGGCUUUUAUUGACAAUUACAUGAAGUUGAUGCGGAGUCAAUAUUUGCAGUGUUGACCCUUCUUUUUCAAGACCUCUGCAAUCCGCUCCGGCAUGCUGUCAAUUAACUUCAGGGCCACAUCCUGACUGAUGGCAGCCCAUUCUUGCGUAAUCAAUGCUUUGAGCUUGUCAGAAUUUGUGGGUUUUUGUUUGUCUACCUGCCUCUUGAGGCUUGACCACAAGUUCUCAAUGGGAUUAAGAUCUGGGGAGUUUCCUGGCCAUGGACCCAAAAUAUCGAUGUUUUGUUCCCCGAGCCACAUAGUUAUCACUUUUGCCUUAUGGCAAGGUGCUCCAUCAUGCUGGAAAAGGCAUUGUUCGUCACCAAACUGUUCCUGGACGGCUGGGAGAAGUUGCUCUCGGAGGAUGUGUUGGUACCAUUCAUGGCUGUGUUCUUAGGCAAAAUUGUGAGUGAGCCCACUCCCUUGACUGAGAAGCAACCCCACACAUGAAUGGUCUCAGGAUGCUUUACUAUUGGCAUGACACAGGACUGAUGGUAGCGCUCACCUUGUCUUCUCCGGACAAGCUUUUUUCCGGAUGCCCCAAACAAUCGGAAAGGGGAUUCAUCAGAGAAAAUGACUUUACCCCAGUCCUCAGCAGUCCAAUCCCUGUACCUUUUACAGAAUAUCAGUCUGUCCCUUGUGUUUUUCCUGGAGAGAAGUGGCUUCUUUGCUGCCCUUCUUGACACCAGGCCAUUCUCCAAAAGUCUUCGCCUCACUGUGCGUGCAGAUGCACUCACACCUGCCUGCUGCCAUUCCUGAGCAAGCUCUGUACUGGUGGUUCCCCGAUUCCGCAGCUGAAUCUACUUUAGGAGACGAUCCUGGCACUUGCUGGACUUUCUUGGGUGCCCUGAAGCCUUCUUCACAACAAUUGAACCGCUCUCCUUGAAGUUCUUGAUGAUCCGAUAAAUGGUUGAUUUAGGUGCAAUCUUACUGGCAGCAAUAACCUUGCCUGUGAAGCCCUUUUUGUGCAAAGCAAUGAUGAUGGCAUGUGUUUCCUUGCAGGUAACCAUGUUUGACAGAAGAAGAACAAUGAUUCCAAGCACCACCCUCCUUUUGAAGCUUCCAGUCUGUUAUUCGAACUCAAUCAGCAUGACAGAGUGAUCUCCAGCCUUGUCCUCGUCAACACACACCUGUGUUAACGAGAGAAUCACUGACAUGAUGUCAGCUGGUCCUUUUGUGGCAGGGCUGAAAUGCAGUGGAAAUGUUUUGGGGGGAUUCAGUUCAUUUGCAAGGCGAAGAGGGACUUUGCCAUUAAUUGCAAUUCAUCUGAUCACUCUUCAUAACAUUGUGGACUAUAUGCGAAUUGCCAUCAUACAAAAUGAGGCAGCUGUAACGGCUGUCGUCAGAAUUAGACCAAGGUGCAGCGGAGGGUGUGUUCAUCUUUGGUAUUUAAUGAAAACGAGAACACUUUACAAAAAUAAACAAAAACGACAGCAAAACAGUCCUGUCAGGAAAACACACUAACAGAAGACAAAAACCCAAAGGAAAACCAGGCUACUUAUGUGUGACUCCCAAUCAGCAACAACAAACUACAGCUGUGCCUGAUUGGGAGCCACACACGGCCCAAAACAAAGAAAUACAAAAGCAUAGAAAAAUGAACAUAGAACGCUCAUCCAAUGUAACACCCUGGCCUAACCAAAAUAAAGAACAAAAACCCCUCUCUAUGGCCAGGGCGUUACAGCAGCACACUUUGUGAAAAUUAAUAUUUGUGUCAUUCUCAAAACUUUUGGCCACGACUGUAAUUGUAAACAAACACGGUUAAGUUUCAAAACAUGGUUAAAACUGUAUUUGAUAACAUGUAGGGUUAGUCCUUGCAUCCAUAGCGCUGUCUUACAUAAAACAAGUGGAGGGGUGACCGAUUUUUUGAAUCCCGGAUUACACCUUUAAGGAUUGUACAUUGACAUUUGGGAUUAUAACACUGCAAAACAUUUUGGGGAAAAUCCAACCGACCAUUACGUUCACCUUUUCAGUUGCCAAGGAGAUAAUAAUAGUUCUAAAUCCAUAUCAUCAUC
rnacentral:lncRNA from 1 species